AUGGCCCGGUAGGCGUUGGAAGGGGUUCUCAUAAUCCCUGGGUCGCGGGUUCGAGUCCCGCCCGCCCUA
rnacentral:tRNA from 1 species